UACGGAGGGGACUAGCGUUGUUCGGAAUUACUGGCGUAAAGCGCACGUAGGCGGAUUGUUUAGUCAUGGGGUGAAAGUCCCGAAGGCCUCAACCUCCGGAACUGCCUUUGAUACUGGCAAUCUCGAGUCCGGAAGAGGUGAGUGGAAUUCCUAGUGUAGAGGUGAAAUUCGUAGAUAUUAGGAAGAACACCAGUGGCGAAGGCGGCUCACUGGUCCGGUACUGACGCUGAGGUGCGAAAGCGUGGGGAGCAAACAGG
rnacentral:rRNA from 1 species